GAUGAACGCUGGCGGCAUGCCUAAUACAUGCAAGUCGAGCGAACGGACGUGAUGCUUGUUUCUCUGAUGUUAGCGACGGGCGGGUGCGUAACACGUGGAUAACCUCCCUAUAAGACUGGGAUAACUUAUAGACACCGGAGUUAGUACCGGAUAAUAUAUUGAACCGCAUGGUUCAAUCGCGUAUGACGAUCUUGUUGUUACUUCAAGAUGGAUCAGCGCUGCAUUAGCUAAUUGGUAAGGUAACGGCUUACCAAGGCAACGAUGCAUAGCCGACCUGAGAGAUGGAUCGGCGACACUGGAACUGAGACACGGUCCAGACUCCUACGGGGGGCAGCAGCAGGGAAUCUUGCGCGAUGGGCGAGAGCCUGACGGAGCAACGCGGCGUGAGUGAUGAAGGUCUUCGGAUCGGGAAACUGUGUUAUUAGGGAAGAACAUAUGUGUAAGUAGCUGAACACGUCUUGACGGUACCUGGUCAAAAAGCCACGGCUAACUACGUG
rnacentral:rRNA from 1 species